rnacentral:rRNA from 1 species
GAUGAACGCUAGCUACAGGCUUAACACAUGCAAGUCGAGGGGAAACGACAUCGAAAGCUUGCUUUUGAUGGGCGUCGACCGGCGCACGGGUGAGUAACGCGUAUCCAACCUGCCCAUCACUGGGGGAUAACCUUGCGAAAGUAAGACUAAUACCCAAUGAUAUCUCUAGAAGACAUCUGAAAGAGAUUAAAGAUUUAUCGGUGAUGGAUGGGGGUGCGUCUGAUUAGCUUGUUGGCGGGGUAACGGCCCACCAAGGCGACGAUCAGUAGGGGUUCUGAGAGGAAGGUCCCCCACAUUGGAACUGAGACACGGUCCAAACUCCUACGGGAGGCAGCAGUGAGGAAUAUUGGUCAAUGGGCGAGAGCCUGAACUAGCCAAGUAGCGUGCAGGAAGACGGCCCUAUGGGUUGUAAACUGCUUUUAUAAGGGAAUAAAGUGAGUCUCGUGAGACUUUUUGCAUGUACCUUAUGAAUAAGGACCGGCUAAUUCCGUGCCAGCCGCCGCGGUAA